rnacentral:lncRNA from 1 species
AAUUAUUAUGAGUAUGUAAUGACACAUUAAUGCCAGAAGCAAUUGGAGAUGCAAAUGAGUUAGUUUUGCAAGUAACCGCUACGUUAUUGACAUUUAUUGGUUUAGUAAUUUUAUUGCAUAUACAUUAUGUCGAUGAGAAUUAAAUUGUUUCCGUUAUAAUUUAAUUUAUUUCGGUUUCAUAUAAUUACUUUCACAUUAAGUUUGUAUGUUACUAUUUAAUAACAUAUAUUCCAUUGGUUUAUGUUAUAUUGGUGAAUAUUAAUGAUGUUAAGUCAGAAGCUUAAAUCAAACAUGAAUAUAUAUGAAAUUGAGCCAGAAGCUCGACCUAAGCUCCAAGGCUAGAACAUAAGCUCGUCAUGUGUCGCCUUGAGUCUAUGACAAUGAUUAUAACUCUUCUCAAACUAAGCUCACCCAGUUGGAUGCGAUGUCUAGGCAAGUACUUUUGAGGAUGUGUACUUAAGUGAGCCUCCCUCCACCACCUCAUCAUGGCUUACCUGGUCGUAUACAAUUGGAGUUACUUAAUAACAUAUAUUCCAUUGGUUUAUGUUAUAUUGGUGAAUAUUAAUGAUGUUAAGUCAGAAGCUUAAAUCAAACAUGAAUAUAUAUGAAAUUGAGCCAGAAGCUCGACCUAAGCUCCAAGGCUAGAACAUAAGCUCGUCAUGUGUCGCCUUGAGUCUAUGACAAUGAUUAUAACUCUUCUCAAACUAAGCUCACCCAGUUGGAUGCGAUGUCUAGGCAAGUACUUUUGAGGAUGUGUACUUAAGUGAGCCUCCCUCCACCACCUCAUCAUGGCUUACCUGGUCGUAUACAAUUGGAGUUACCGAAAGGGUUGAUUAAUAACAUUGCAUUUCUUGGUAGACCAUUAUUAGCCCAGUAGGCCUACUCUCCCUCUAUGGGACCUAAAAGCCUAGCAUACCUCUCAGAUUGUGCCCCGUAGGCCUUGUAAAGUAUGUAUAGGCUAGGUUUAUUU